rnacentral:rRNA from 1 species
AGCGCAGGCGGAGCGACAAGCGGUCUGUACAAUGCCGGGGCCUAACCCCGGACCUGCAGACCGGACUGCCGUUCUUGAGUCGUUCAGAGGCUGGCGGAAUUCCUGGUGUAGCGGUGGAAUGCGUAGAUAUCAGGAAGAACACCGAUGGCGAAGGCAGGCUACCAGCAGAUUACUGACGCUGAGGUGCGAAGGUGCGGGGAGCAAACA